GGAAGGCUGGAAAGUGGCUUGGCUAUAGUUCAGCUUUAGGAUGAAGGCCAUCACUAGCUUGGCUGCCCUGUCCAAUUUCAACUUCCUCAUGAAGCCCAGCUACAAAUCCAGAUAGAAACUAUUUUUAGCUCCAGUUGGUCAGUAGCAGAUGCUGAACUAUAAGAGUUCUGGAACCUUCAGCAUUACACAGGAAGGACAAUUGAAGCUGUUGGAAGGAGCAGUCCCAAGAAGGAGUUGAACAGCAGGAAUAUAAAACCAUGGUACACUAAAAGGGACAUCACUAGGGAAAAAAAAUCCAAGGAAAAAAUAUUCAAAAUGAGAAGUUAAAAUGGGGAAUAGAGAAAUAAGACAAUUACAGGUACUAAAGGAAGAAGACACCUUUGCAAUGAUAAAUAAUGGGUGGACGGUGGUGAGCGGCAGCCUCUAUUUUAUCUUUUCCAACUGAGUGACAUUUUAUGAGGCCCAAAAGAUCUGUGAAUCCAUAAACACAACGCUGGCUAUUGUCAUCCAUCCCCAGGUAGAGUUAUUUGUGGAGUCUCAGUCCCAAACGUUAAAUCAAGGAAUCUGGAUUGGUUUGCAAUUUUUUGAGAGAAACUGGUAGUGGAUUGAUGGAAAGACACUGUAUCAUCCACAUUUCUGGAUGAAAUAUAAGCCAGACCCCGCCUCCUUCAAAAGGGACAAGUGUGUUGAAAUUAAAAAAAAAAUAUCCUACACCUGGGAAUUGCUGGAGCAAUCUUAACUGCAGUGCGAAAAGAAUCCCAGCUUGUAAACUGGACCCCAGUCCAAAGGGAAUGGGAUAAAAUUGGUGUUUCCCAUUCUCUACUCAAAUAUAUAAAAAACAAAACAACAGCAAAAACCGUAGCAAAAGUCAAUGGUUUGGCUCUGUAAAGAAAAUUCUACCAAGUUUACCUGCAGAACGGUGUUGUUUCAAAAACCUUUGAGAGUUGUGGAUGACAACUUCUGCCAAAUCCUUCAGUUAUAGCUCACUUCUGGUAGCAAAAGAUCAAUAGAUUGCAGUCGCUGUAAUUUGUCCCCUGACAAUGUUUCUUCAACAACUAGUUUCUCCUUCUGAUUGUGAUUACCUGUGCACAUUUUAAAAAUUUUGAAAAAAAAAAACUUUCCUGUU